rnacentral:rRNA from 1 species
AAUUUUAGUUAAUUUAAGUAUCCCGAAAAAAUAAGAUCUAUUUAAUUUAAUUUAUUAGUUAUUAAUUUUUAUUGUGGCAGAAAUAAUUUAAUAAGAUUUAAUAGGGACGAAAAGUCUUUCAUUUAUUUUGAUAUCUGGAUAAGGAAUAAAUGUAUAUAGUACAAUAUUUACACUUUAUUAGUGAUAAGAUUAAUAAAGUUUUAGAAUUUUUUAAAUAAAAUUUUAUAAAGGUAAUUCUUUUUAUAUAAAGGUAAAUUAAAAUUAAUUAUUAGGAUAAAUCUACUAAGUAUUCUUUAAUAUUACUAGAUUUUAUCUAAUAUUUAUUCUGUUUAAAUUAGUAAUAUUGAUCUAUAGAGAUUUAGGAACUCGGCAAAAUAAUUUUUCAUCUGUUUACCAAAAACAUAGCUUAAGGAAAAUCUAUCUUAAGUUUAACCUGCCCAGUGGAUUUUCUUAACGGCCGCAGUACUCUGACUGUGCUAAGGUAGCAUAAUAAAUUGGCUUUUAAUUUGAGUCGGGAAUGAAUGGGUUUAUGGAAAGUUUCUGUCUUAAUUUUUUUCUUAUAAAUUUACUUAGUAAGUGAAAAUUCUUACAAAUCGACAUUAGACGAGAAGACCCUAUGAAUUAUAAUUAAAUUAAAGGAAAAUUAUCAACAUUUUUGUUGGGGCAACAAUAAUGGAAUUUAUAACCAUUAAAUAAUUUUUCUUAUUCGAAUGUUUCUAGGUUUUUAUAAAUAAGUUUAAUUACCUUAGGGAUAACAGCAUUAUUAUUUAAUAGAUUGUGACCUCGAUGUUGGAUUAAGGGCUUUUUUAAUAAGCCAUUAAAAAAGAUUGUUCUGUUCGAACUUAUAACCUUA